GACAACAUUUUCAUUUUGGGGUGGAGUAACCCUUUAAUUGCAAAAAUGUGUGUGUUACAGAUACAUUCAAAAGCUUCAGUGAAUAGACUACCAUAAAAUAUAUUUCACUUUCACAGCUAAUCCUGAACUUAUGAAUCUUCACUGAUUCGUACAGACUCCCCUCGUUGUUCUAAGUCAUACAUCUAUGUAUAUUCUUCUUAAUAUUAUAUUGAUUUAUAUUCGUUGUUCUAAGUCAUACAUCUAAGUAUAUUCUUCUUAAUAAUUAUAUUGAUUUAUAUCAAACAUUUAAUUACACACCACUGGAUGAUGUUAAGUUUCAAAUAAAAUGCUAUGUUUUUACAACACUCAUUUACAAGCUAAUAAUGCGAGAAACAGAAAUAGAGUAAUGUUGUUUGCCUCAAGUGAUUUCAGUUAAAGUUUCUAUAUACUGAUUUUGUUUUUAUUAUUGUUUUAUGUUUGUUCUGCAGAUGGCAGAUGUUCUGGCUGUGAAACAGGAUCUCCGUGGUCUGUUACAGUAGGAAUAAUAAUAUCAGCUCUAGUUCUAGUUGUAAUCUUUUCUGUGAUUCGUCGCUGCAUCAACAAAAGGAAAAAGCAUCAUGGUCUGAUGAGAAGUUAUCGUUAUUAUGGUGGAACGACUGAACAGCUUCAGGUCCCCAAAGUGUCUGAUCAAGAGCUCAAUACUGACUGAGAUGAGAACAGGUUCACACUGACUAAAUAAAAGGCACUCUUUUCUAAUUUUACAACUGUCUUCUGAAAAAUUUAUUCUUGUAUUCCCAGCAUUUUCUAAUCUGUGUCAGCUCUACUUUAUUAAGAAUAAAUGGUUAUUAAGAAGUUAUUGAUAAGAGGUAACAUAAAUUGCAAAACAAAAGCAGUUAUUUAUCUCAUUACAUGAAUAGUAAAUAAUAUAAGUCAAAUUAAGAACUCUUAUUGCUAUAAGAUGUAAUAGUUUUCUAAGCUCAAAUAUUAUUUAUGGCCUUUACAUCCCCAGCUAACAGCGAACGUUCUUUGAAUGUUCUGGCAAGGUUCUCUUACAAACAUUCUUCCAGUAACAUUAAUAGAAUGUUCAAAAGUAACAUUCCAAUAAAGUUUACAAAGUGAUACAAUGUAAUGUUCCCUUGAUGUUUGCAUAACCAAAAGAAAAAUAAAGGUUUUUAAAACAUUAAAAAAGUGAACUAUUUGAACAUUCAGAAAAAGUUUGUUUUCAGAUUUCAUUUUUGUACCUUCGCUGUUUGUACCUUUCACUUCAGCUUGAAUCAGAAUACUGAAUCACAACAGACGCUGUUUAUUAUGUUAAUGUAUGCUCCUAUAAAAUGAAACUACUUCAAACUUUUCACAUUUGACGGAUUCCUCAAAUGUUAUAUUUGUAUCACAUGCAGUAUAAUUCUCUGUUGUUGUUUCAGGGAGGAGGACUGUG
rnacentral:lncRNA from 1 species